GCUCCUCUAACUGGGGGCACAUAACAUAACAUAACCUAAUUAAUCCUAAUAUUUACAUUUGUAAAGAAUAUCCUGUUUGUUUUUAUUGUCGAUUGUGCAGCAAAUCAAAUAUAAAGUAGUUUAUCGCCUACAGAACUGAAUUAGUCCAUAGCAGUUAUCAGUUUUUCUUUCUUGGGAAGCUUAUACAUGUAACUUGUAUUGUUGUAAAUUGUGGGAGUAGGGCAGACAGGGAAAAGUCUUAUUUUGUACUGUUCCCAAGGCUCCCCAUGCAAUACAUUUAAAUGAAUUAUCCAAACAAAGCUGGGGACAAUGGAUAAAAGCCACAAGAAGAACAGAUAUAAGGGAACUAAAAUUAAAAUAUGAAAAGUAAACAUUUUGUAAGUGGAACAACCACCAGAUAUUUAAAAGGUAUAAAAAGAAGAAACUGCUGGAAUUUCAAAACAAAUGUGUUUGACUAGUAAAGAUUUGGAUAAAUAACAGGAGUUACUUUGGGCUAUAGCUACGUGCAGAUUUAUUUCCUUGUGGCUUCCUAUGUUAAUUCUUGUUAAUUAUACACUUAAAUAUGUUUUUAGUCUCAGGAAGAUUUUAUAUUUGAUUAUUUUUGAAUAAACAUUAUUAUUAUUAUUACCUUAAUUUCCAUUAAAUAAAUUGACUGUAAUCAAUAAAGUAAUCGUUUAAUUGUUAAUAAAUUAUCAAGUAUGA